CCAAUCCUUCCAUCGGCUCCUACAUCAAUUGAGCUGAAAGGUCUUCAUUGUACUCGCCAAGUUCACAGACUUGAGCUUUCAAUUUCAAGAUCUGGGCAUCUCUCAAUUCCAACUGGCACUAAAAGUGACUCCUCUCUUCUGGAACUUCGAGAACUGGCAACGUUGAUACUUGUGCUUGACCAAUAUUGAUUAAAUCCUCUGCCAAUCUUUUCACCUCGGUGUUCAAGGCCUCAAUUUCAGCCCUUAACCACUCCGUUUCACAUCUAUAUUGGUCACUCAAUACCAAUUUCUCUUGUGCCAAUAACUCGGUCUUUUCUCGUUCCAUUACCAACUGACCCUUCGCUUUUUCCAGUUCUAAGAUUGAAUGACCGCGAGUCCGGAAUAGUUCUUGUCUAUGAGUCUCCACCAUGCGUUCUCUUUCUUGUGAGUGACUCUUCACUGUUAACUCUUAACUGGAACUACUAC
rnacentral:lncRNA from 1 species